rnacentral:miRNA from 1 species
UGUCAUGGAGUUGCUCUCUCAUU